CUAAGAAUAUUCCGCAAUGGACGAAAGUCUGACGGAGCGACGCCGCGUGGAUGAGGAAGGCCGAAAGGUUGUAAAAUCCUUUUGUGGAUGAAGAAUAAGUAGGGCAGGGAAUGGCCUUAUGAUGACGCUAGUCCGCGAAUAAGCCCCGGCUAAUUACGUGCCAGCAGCCGCGGUAACACGUAAGGGGCAAGCGUUGUUCGGAAUUAUUGGGCGUAAAGGGCGCGUAGGCGGUCAUGUAAGUCUGAUGUGAAAUGUCCGGGCUCAACCCGGGAACUGCAUUGGAAACUGUAUGGCUAGAAUCACGGAGGGGCAGCCGGAAUUCCUGGUGUAGGGGUGAAAUCUGUAGAUAUCAGGAAGAACACCGGUGGCGAAGGCGGGCUGCCAGCCGAUGAUUGACGCUGAGGCGCGAAAGUGCGGGGAGCAAACAGGAUUAGAUACCCUGGUAGUCCGCACCAUAAACGAUGCACACUAGAUGUCGGGCCGAGCGGUUCGGUGUCGGAGCGCACGCGAUAAGUGUGCCGCCU
rnacentral:rRNA from 1 species